UCUUAUAAUAUAAAUUGAAGUAUUAAAAAUCCAAUUAAAAAAUAAUAUUUUAUUACGAAAUCUGCUUGUUUAUUCGUACCAAUUGGAUACCAAUAUACCAAUAUAUAUUUUUCCGAAAUCCGGCGAUGAAAUUCAAGGUCGUUUGCAGUUGGUGUGGGACAACCCCAUGGAUCUUUUCUAUGGCAUAAACAAGAUCGUUUAAUUGGAAGGAGUGUCAGGAAGAUACAAAAGAACCAUCUCAACAGGAUUCGUCACAUCGCCUGCUCACUGCAGGCCAAACCGUCGAAGAUCCAUCUGUAAGAGUCUGUUUGCAUAUGGUGCAAUAUGCACUGCAGUUGGUUUCGUGGGGUGUGAAUAUUUUCUACCCUGCAAUAAAGUGUUUAGAUUAGUGAUCCUGCUGUUAGGCUGCAGGAACACCUUUUUCUCAUUUUAAGCAAUGGCCAGACACUGCCUUUAAUAAAAGAUCGCAGAACUGGAAUUUGGAAUUUUUAGUUCAAUAAUUGCAUGCA